GACAAGUUCUUUGGUAUAUAAUGUUUCGCUUAUACUAAAAUGUUAGUAUGGAAUUAGUUAUUUACUUAAUAAGUUAUAUAAGUUUUCUAGAAAAUAUGUUCUAAUUUAUACAGUGGAUAAAACAAAAAAUAUGGUGUAUACAGAAAUUUUGUAAAUUUAAUUUUUUUUAAUAAGAUUUAUUUGCAACCUACUCCUGUGAUUGUUCAUACUCACGCUUGGGCGGAACCGAGACGGGUAUGCUAGUACUAAAUAAAUACCUACGUAUCUUACACCUUAAUGGGCUUAACGUUUCCGUCAAAAAUCAAAAUACACACCAUCACAGCUGAGGAAUAGAUUGCUAUAUUUCGACUUAAAAUGAAAACGAAGACAUAUUUAUAGUCCACUAUCACCGCACAACUAGUGACAGUACUGUACCAAGACGAGCAGUAACCACUAGCCCCAAUCGAUCGGCCGUGAGCGGACAAUAUUACAUGGUGACAUAAAUUAUACCUGGUAUCAAACUCGAUGUAGACAAACUGUCCGAACCGUCACUGAUUUCAACCACGGUGUGACCUAUAAUUCAGUUAUAUACAGUGGAUGUAAACAUACGCUGUCGCGGGAGGAACAAGAUCCAGACGGUUAUCGGUAUAAAUCGACGAGAUAGGUCACCGAACCAAUAGACAAUAAUAUAUAUCCGUACUGGACAGCGGCGCGUAGAACAGUGCAAUCGUAGUCGCUGCAGUUGCAAUCGCUGGCUGUAUUCCGGAUGGUCAGGUAUUUCCGGCGUGAAUGUAUUUGGUUUCCGCUCUGAAGCCGGAUGGUCGACUACGGAGAAGGGGAUAGAUCAACGGAGCGUGGAAGACGACGGAACCCAGCGCAGCCGUUAUGAUGAGAACAGUGAAGAUUCGGCAUUGGUCGUGGAUGCAGUUGUCGCAGUGCUCGAACUCGUUGAGCUCCAGAUGAGUUUGUUCAUGAAUAUUUGCGACAGUUUCCGUUGAAGCUCACAUUGUAUAUAUGUCAUCCAUUCACGUAAUCACCGCCGUCUGUCCUCGAUUGACAUAGUCGUCACUAGUCAGUAGACGAUGGCACGAUGCGACAGUAGGUAAACGUUCGAGCCCAUCGCCGUCACCACCUGUCUGCCGUCCCUGUCCAAUACGAGGAGCAUGUGUCUAGACUAGACAACGGCAAUUUCAUAUGUUAUAGUACAUGAUAAUUUUAGAAUACAAUAAUCAUAAUUGUUUUAAUUAAACUUUCAUGAAAAUAUUU